rnacentral:rRNA from 1 species
UACGUAGGGUGCGAGCGUUAAUCGGAAUUACUGGGCGUAAAGCGUGCGCAGGCGGUUUUGUAAGCCAGAUGUGAAAUCCCCGGGCUUAACCUGGGAACUGCAUUUGUGACUGCAUGGCUGGAGUGCGGCAGAGGGGGAUGGAAUUCCGCGUGUAGCAGUGAAAUGCGUAGAUAUCGGGAGGAACACCAGAGGCGAAGGCGGGUUACUGGGCUGAUACUGACGCUGAUGCGCGAAAGCCAGGGGAGCAAACGGG